rnacentral:rRNA from 1 species
UACGGAGGGUGCGAGCGUUAAUCGGAAUUACUGGGCGUAAAGCGCGCGUAGGCGGCCUGAUAAGUUGGAUGUGAAAGCCCCGGGCUCAACCUGGGAACUGCAUUCAAAACUGUCAGGCUAGAGUAUGGUAGAGGAUAGUGGAAUUUCCGGUGUAGCGGUGAAAUGCGUAGAGAUCGGAAGGAACAUCAGUGGCGAAGGCGGCUAUCUGGACCAAUACUGACGCUGAGGUGCGAAAGCGUGGGGAGCAAACAGG